rnacentral:rRNA from 1 species
GUGCUCGCGGCCUAUCAGCUUGUUGGUGAGGUAAUGGCUCACCAUGGCUUCGACGGGUAGCCGGCCUGAGAGGGUGACCGGCCACACUGGGACUGAGACACGGCCCAGACUCCUACGGGAGGCAGCAGUGGGGAAUAUUGGACAAUGGGCGGAAGCCUGAUCCAGCAACGCCGCGUGAGGGAUGACGGCCUUCGGGUUGUAAACCUCUUUCAGCACGGACGAAGCGCAAGUGACGGUACGUGCAGAAGAAGCACCGGCCAACUACGUGCCAGCAGCCGCGGUAAUACGUAGGGUGCGAGCGUUGUCCGGAAUUAUUGGGCGUAAAGGGCUCGUAGGCAGGUUUGUCGCGUCGGAGUGAAAACCGGGGCUUAACACCUGGCCUGCUUUCGAUACGGGCAGACUAAGGUACUCAGGGGAGAACGGAAUUCCGGGUGUAGCGGUGAAAUG